UACGGAGGGUCCAAGCGUUAUCCGGAUUUAUUGGGUUUAAAGGGUGCGCAGGCGGUUCGUUAAGUUAGAGGUGAAAUCCCGUGGCUCAACCACGGAACUGCCUCUGAUACUGUCGGGCUAGAGAGAGGUUGCUGUGGGCGGAAUGUGUGGUGUAGCGGUGAAAUGCAUAGAUAUGUCGUGGAAUACCGAUUGCGAAGGCAGCUAACUGGGUCUUGAUUGACGCUGAGGCACGAAAGCGUGGGGAGCGAACAGGAUUAGAUACCCU
rnacentral:rRNA from 1 species